rnacentral:lncRNA from 1 species
GGUCUGCAAUAUUGAUCAAGACUACAAGCCCCAAAACCCCCAAAUGCAAAUGCGACUCCCGCCUUUUUUGAACGGGUACAUACAGCAUGGCAUCCCUCUGUGCUACACUAUAGCACUGUACUGUGUGUCAAGGCAUGCAGUGUGUGCGUACAACCAGCCAGCUGCCAUGCAUGCCGUAUGAGACACACACAAGACAGCAAGACAGCCAUUCCUAUCAACAGCUACAGGAGCCAGAGCAGAGACAAAUCCUUUUAUUACUUUGUUUUCCCCUGCUAUUCUUCAAUAUGGGCAUCUGUUGACAUCUUUCGCCAAACAGUGGAUUCAAACACAUUGUGGCAACAGUAUAUUGACGUGAGACCAUGCAGAAAAUGCUACUUUCUCUCAACCUUCUGGAUCAGCAUUCAGCAGCGUAGCAGCCUCAUGACACAUUUGAAGCCUUUAUCGGUAAUUGGGCAGAUGUACUUGUAUUAUUUCUGUACAUAUAUUUUUCAUUCUUCCAUGAUCAUGACACUGAUUAAUUAGACAUCAAGAAUUAUUCAUUUCAUUCGAAUAAAAUGAGUUUCAUAUAUAUAUAAUUCAAUUAAUUUCAGAUCACUAAAACCUGCAGGUAUGUUGCAAUAACCGACCAUAUUUUGUGAGUUUCGAACAGUGUUCUUUUCCCUCCUCAGCAAUGGAGCUUUGAUUCUUCUUUUAUCACCAAACUAGAAUUGUAUUGAUAAUUAUUUACAAACAAAUCCUGAAUCAUGUUUGCAUUGCCAACAAACUUUUAAAAUGCAAAGGCAUGUUUAUAUUAUGUUUGUAAGCAAUGAGAGAUUAUUUUAUUUAGUACUUUUCAGACAGAAUUUAUUAUUUAAUUCAUUGUUUACGUUCUAGUUUUAAAAUGUAUAAACGUUUUUCUUAACUUGUUUUCCUUUCUUUUUGCUCUAUUGAUGCAUUAGAAUUCUUUGCGUGCAUGUACCCUGGAUCAAGCAGCACUUGCCUUAUACAGGAGAUUCUACCCAAAAUCUAAACCAUGAGUCCCAGCUGAAGAGGAAUAUUUCCAAAAUGAGGUCUACACACAUAGAGGUUACUUUCCCCUUCAUUAUAGAGAUACAGAGAGAGGGAGAGAGAGAUGGGGGGGGGGGGGGGGAGUGAGUUAUAGCCACGAACCUGAAUAGCUUAGCUGUAGAACUGAAAUGCCCAUUCAUGUCACUUGCCAUUUUGAUGAAUUACAGGGUUUACAAACAUACAUGUAGGCCUACAUUUUUACCCUUUGGGGAAAAGAUCUUGGUAUUUGCGUAUAUUUGUUAUUACUAUUUAUGACGUAGACCUGUUUCAUAAUGCGUAUGUAGUAGAUCAGUCUCGUGCUCACCCCCACCCCCUUCGUAUCGAAAUGUCAAUUCCAAAAACCUGUGGCAAAUUAUAUAUAUUGGUAAUAGAGAAAAAUUGAGUGAGGUAAAUGCAAUACAAAUCUAUUCCAAUCUUAAGCACUUAAGACUUGUUAAGGAAUGGCACGUGAACCGCCAAAAAAUUAAAAAAAUUGUGUCUUGAAAUAAAUGGGAAAGUAGUCCUGCAGCUCAUCAUAGUGACGUACAUUACCGAUUCAGCCAAUUUAAAAUGCCCAUAGGUUUAGUGAUCACAGCUUUCAACAAUCCAUAACCACCUUAUUUUGUGUCAGAUUUAAUGUGGUAUUUUUUAAAAGUAUAGUUGUCUGUUAAGGUUGGAUUUCUCUUUAAAAAGUGUAAAGGGUAAGCCCUAUGUAACAUAAUGUGAUGAGGCAAUUUUCGUUAUAAAACCAAAUCAAAGUGCCGCGGAACAAAUUAUUUCGUUCACCUGUUAAGAAUAAUGGUAUUUCGAUAGUCAGAAUGCGAAAUGCAAACAUGUGUUGUUAGGUAGGGCAACACAUAAUGUAUUCAAUUUGCAUUCUGACUAUUUAAAUACAUUUAUUGGUAAAAGGUGAAUUUAAUAAUUGGUAAUGAGGCACUUAACGAGGACCUAUUCAUUAAAUUUGAUAAUUACAAUACGACAAUGGCCUACAUGUAUUCAUAUGAAUGGGAAAUCUUUGAACUGUUAUGUCGUUUCUGAGGGUUCAUAAUUUUAUAUGUUCAAGGAUUCAUAAUUCUACAAAUGAAGUAGGGUUCUUAAUUCUGAAAAUGAACUAGGAUUCAUAAUUCCAAAAAUGGAAUAUGGUUCAUAAUUCCGAAAAUUAAAUAGGGCUCAAUAUACUUCCAAAAGUUUAUUAUUCUGAAAAUGCAAAUAGAACCCUUUAUCCUUUUUGGAAUUACGAACCGUCAAUAUAAUGAAUCCUAUUUUAUAUUCAAAAUAAUACCAUUUCAUUUGCGGAAAUAUUAACCCUAUUUUAAUAUCGUUAUUAACGCCCCUUUUUCGAUUCCAGAAUUACGCACCCUAUUUAUUUUUCGUAAUUAUGAAAUCUAUUUCAUUUCUAAAUUCAAACCUUUUAAAAUAUGGACCAUAUUUCAUUUGUUUAUCAAAUGUCAGGAGGAAAUUGAAAUUUGUCAUAAUACAUUGUACUAUCAAGUUACAUUUAUUGAUGAACAGCACACUCUUUAGUUACCAUAAUAUCACAUCACUUGUCAAAAUAAUAAGGCCGUGAAUGAUUUUCUUUUGCUUGUGAAUGUAGUAGGCUUAUAUUAUGUAGUACACAAUAUUUCAUUUCCAAUUGCUGCAACUUUAUAUCAAUCCUUUACAUAUACUUUGACAAUCUACAGGUAAAAAUCAUGCUUUGAGUUAUCAUUUGUGAAUUAUUCUCCAAAUUGAAAUGCAUGAAUAAAGUACUUAAAUUUGUGCAAGUGAACUUAUUCUCUAUGGUGGAAAAUUACAAAAGAAAUUUCUCAUCAAAAAUGCAUGCUCAUUGUUUCUACUCAUGAUACUUACCGUAAGAAAACUUGUAAAUUGCCAAACCUACUCUUUUAAACAUCUACUCCAAAUUUUCAAGAUUGAUUUCUCUCUGUUAAAACUGGCCAUAACUUUUAGACAAUAAUUACACAAUUUAACAGUUUUUUGUGUGUCUUCUUUUGUUGUUGAAAUGUGUAAAAAAAAAAAAAAAAAAAAAAAAAAUCCUUUUUUAUUUAAGCUGUUAAACGUUCAUGUAAUUGUAAUCACUAUAUGAUGUAUGAUAUUCUGACAGAUAAUAAAAGGAUACACUGUUAAGUGUUAAAUAUGAUAAAGAUGAA